rnacentral:lncRNA from 12 species
CGUUUGUCCUGCUUGAGUCCUGUGUUUGACCUCUUUCAGACCGUUCCUGAGUUACAGCUGUUCAAAGAAGGCCCUUUUAAUCUGCUAACGAGCGUGUUUGUGUUGUUGUUUGAUGGUGAAGCUGUCAGGAGGCUCGUAAACGCAGGCACACCCUGUCGACUCAAUCUCGUAAACGCUUCACGCAACCCAAGGACACGGCGAACCGACUGUUUUCAGCUGGGCUGUUCCUGCUUCUGGAAAGUCUUCAGGCCACCUGUGCCGACCGGAUGCUGCUGGAAAUCCCCCUCUAGAGAACUUCAUGUAGUGCUGCAUGUGUGUGUGUGUGUGUGUAUUACACAUAGAAACUGUGCUGCUUGAAUCUUUGAAGCUGUUUGUCUUUAGUAGCCAAUUUUAGUGUCUCCAAAGUACACCAAUCAUGUUUAGACUGACUUGGACGAGCAAGAAACCACCUAGCAACCAAACGUCAACAAACACUCACAGCAUCCUUGCAUUACAGUGAGUUUUGCACAGUCAGUUUAUUGGUGCUCAAGCAGCAGCUUGUUUUCACCGUAAACACUAAUCAAGCAUCUGCUAAGCCGAUUUUGGCAGGCAAUGCGUAAUCCAGCGAUCGGACACACACACACACACACACACACAUGCGGCUGAAGGCUGAAUUAAUUACAGACUGGAGUGUGAGUCUGCUGAUCUCAGCUCAGUGUCUCAGGCCUUUAUUUAGGAUGUAAACACUAAGCUGCUAAUACUAUUAGACGAGGAUGAGAUUUACCGUCAGUGAGACUGUAAGAGAGGACCGGCGUCAUGUGUGUGUGUUUAUGCAUGUAAUCGAGCUCAGUUGAAGCUCUCAGUUACUCUGGAACUCAGCUUCAUCUUCAGUUCUGAUUGGCUGUGAUUGUGUUGCAUCACAAAGGUUUAGACGCACUGUAAGAGUCAGGAAGAGAGUGAGGCUGGAAAAUGGAAAUCUAAAUGAUGACAAACAUUCAUUCAUUCAUUUAUUCAUUAAUUAUUUAUUUAUUUACAUUUUAAUUAUAUUUAAUUAAUUGAUUAAAUGUAUUUCUUAAAAUGUAAUUAAUUAAAAUACAUUUUAUUUUUGUAAUGUUUAAUUUAAAUUCGUUAAUUUUUACAUUUUUUUAUAUUUUAACAUUUUUAAAUGACAUUUUAAAACUUGUAAAUUAAAUAUUUUUUGUUUUUUAAAUUUUUUAAUUCGUACAUUUUAAAAUGUGUAAACUUUUAAUUUGUACAUUUUUAAAAUGUAAAAUUUUUAUUAAAAAAAUUUGCCUUAUAAAAUGUUAUUUUGUUUUGUAUUUAAUUUUUCUUAGCAUUUCUAUUUUUUGUAAGACCCAUUCUAUAGACCCAUAUGAAUGUUAGUGGAAGAACGCUUUCACACACACACACACACACACACAUACACACACACAAACAUAAAACACCCAC